rnacentral:sRNA from 1 species
UGAGCUCAUCUGUCUCAGCCCCAUUUAUUUCUCCUGGGUGAUGAGAAGACCUGUGCUUCUCCGUUAAAAGGCACUAGGAAAGAAGGAGUUAAAGUGAAGGCAGGCUCGCUGGUUUGCUGAGAUCUGUCAGAGGCUGACUGGCUGGCUACAUAUCUGUCUCUGGAACAAUAGGUACCUGUAUUCUGCAUGGGCUGCUGGGCAGGCAGUACUAACACUCUGGAGAAGGUCUGCCUCUGUCUGAGCCUUCCUGGUGAGAUUCCCCAGUAACAGUCCUACUUUUCAGAGGAGAGAGAGAGAGAGAGAGAGAGAGAGAGAGAGAGAGAGAGAGAGAGAGAGAGAGAGUUUGAGGCUGUCUACUCUGUUGAUAGAGGACAAAGCUUUGAUCAUUUUUGUUCAGGCUUCACUUGGUGAGAGGUUUUAGGUUCUUAGUCUCAAGUCAGUAGUUGUGCUGCCUUCCCCCCCCCUCCCCUUUCUUUCAUAUUCUCUUUCUGCCGCCCUCCCUCUCUCAUUUCUCCUCAUAGGUUCAAUGCAGGCAGAUGAGUGCCACAGCUGUAACUGAGGCGUAGAAUAAUCAACACAUCGGAGCCAAUCCCCCUGACACCAAGAGGGGAAUCCGGCAGAGGUGACCGACCGCGAGGACAAGACCGUUCUUCUGACAAGUUUUAGGUAAGGGAACAUUUAUAUACAAUUCUUGCAUUUCUGAAUCUCGGUGACUGAGAGAGACACUUGUGAUAAAAAGAAAGGGAAGUCGUUGUAGGUAAAUAUUUUUGAGAGGGCAUCCUUCUUGUUGUCCGUUGCUUGCAGAACCUGUCAGUGUUUAUGCGGGGGCUUUGUGUUACUAGAAUCUUCAGAGGUGAGGUGUGAGCAGGACUGGAGGAAGGGUGAGCUGCUUUUUAUGUCUGUAUGGUGACAUUUACCAUGCUGUUUAAAUCUGUAUCUGUUAAAAAAAAAAAAGAAAGAAAGAAAAUAGAAUUUCUGUUUGACGAUAGUAACGUUUUGUGCAAGGCAGAGCAUAUGGCUGUGCAGAAUUCAAGUGGCGUUCUUUUAUUUUUAAUUUGUAAUUAUUUUUACAUUCAACUGUACUGAGGUCAGAGAGUUUUAAAAAUUAAUGAGAUUCCCUGUGGAGUUCAAAUAGUAAUAUCUACGUGAGCCUCCACAAAGAGAUAAGAUUAGGCCAGUAUAUAUGUAUUUUUUUCUUUCUUUCUUUCUUUUUUUUUUUUUUUUUUUGGCCAUGAUUUGGCUGUCUUACUUUGAAUACACGCCAUCUGAAGCAUAUGUAGGGUUCAAUAGUUUCUGGGAGUUGGUGUGAUUUGGAAGACUAGCCCUUAAUUUAUUGUUUAGUGACCAAGAGGCAUGGAGCCCCAGUUAGACUGCUGAGGAUGAACACUGUUAGGUGGGGACAUUCCUAAAACUUCACAGACUUUAUUGUCAUGACAAUGGAGCGAGUCUUAGACUUUCGAGGAAAGAGCAAAUGAUAAAUGAGGCAACGUGCUAAGAAGAAGAAGAAAAAGAAAAUCUGCGAAUGUGGCUUUAUUUUAAGUACUGUGUGAAAAUUCUAGGUAAAGACAGUUAUUUAGGAUCAAAGCUUGCUGGUCUGAACAAAGAGGCAAAGAUCCGCACAGGUGAAAAUUCUUUGCCACAAAAUGAAUCUAGAGCAUAGAUUAAGGGCAGGAAGUGAUUUGGUGAUUCACUAUUUUAUUUUAUUAUUAUUUUUUUAACCUUUAUUCUUGCCCCAUAAAGGUAGUUCACUGGGUUGAGUCCAGGCAUUUACAACUUUGAUUUCCCACAAUUUAAAAGCAUUGUUUGUGUGUCCGUGGUCUAAGACGCUGUUUAUAGGAGAGGCACUGAGAAGUAGUCUGAACAGAGGGUAAUCUGGGCUUCCAUUUACAAGAUCCAUUCAGGUCUUCCUGUGAUAUAUUGUUAUGUAAAUACUUUUCGGCCAGGGAGAGCUGGGCUAUGGAGAUUCAAUUUACUUUGAAAGUUGUUCAUUAUAGCAAGGAUGAAUGUUAUUUAUUUGAUGCGAUUCAAAGACUGGAAAUGACUUUUUCAUUGUGGUACUUUUUGUGAUGGGUCCAGGGUGAUCUAAUCUUUUUAAUUUUGGCUUUCACACCAGUGGAGAUGAAAAGAGAUCUGAACUCAUUUAUCGGUUGCUAGGUCUUUCUGGAAGCCCAAGUUCUGUUUGUGGUUGCUAUGGUCAGGCUGACCUCAAUCUCUGUGGUUUGAGGGACUUAAGCAGUCAUUUUUUUUCUUUUCUUUUCUUUUCUUUUUUUUUUUUAAUUGAGGAGCAUGUACCUUGAUUUAUGUCCAAAACUGUAGCUGAAUGUCUUUGUCUGCGGGUGAUAUAUGGUGCAGAACAAUUCAUCUGUUCUUACGAGUAAACACCGCUGUCCCACUAAAAAUAUGUUUUGUUCGGAGUUAAUGGUAUGGAACAAGGCAUUCUCCACAAAUAGCUAUCUUUUAUUGUGUUGGGGCCGCGGAAACGCUGAGCAAAGUGCAGGAAAUUGGCAUCAGUCCUCGCGUCUAUUAGCAUUUCAUUUGUGAGUCGCAUGAUAAGACCGGUAGGUGGACAGAGGGAGCCAGGAAGGGUUGUUUCGACAUCUUCACUUUCUCAACUGGGACCGCCUAGCCUGACCCGCAUUCGCCAGGACCCAGUAAGUCAGCGUUAGUUCCCCCUGACCCGGUGAGCAUCGUUUCGCCCAAGCGCUAAAGCACACCCAGGCGGACGUGCUGAGGCUCAGCGCUGGGGACCGGUAUUCUUAGGCUCCUUGAGGGAAAGUUGCUGGGUCCGAUCUCGGCACCACCCAGGACUGUAAUGUCUAUGCGCUACUGAAUGGUCCCCGGUCGCCUGCUUUCUAGACUCUUGUUAGAAAGGAGCCCGGGUGAAUCAGAGGCUAUGGAGAACGCAGCCCAAUUCAGCAGAUGAGCCGGAAUACAGUCCUGCUCCCUUAAAAACUGCUAAUUGAUGGAUGCUGCGGGGGAACAGACACCGCGAACGAGGGCAAAAUAGGAAUCAGGAGAGGCACGUAUUGCCGAUAGCACCACCGAUUUCCUUCUCAAAGCAGCUUGCACGGACUAUCCUCAGGAAAAUGAGAUCCAGGAGAAGUGACGCCCUCCUCGAACUGAAAGAUACUCAUGCUAAUGGUGUCACGGAAGAAGCGAUGUAUCGACAGCUCAGGAUGGCUGCAGGGGACAUAUUCAGACGUGGCCCAGAUUGUCUGCCCAUGGGGACUGAGAUACCUCUGAGAUUUAUAUCAGAUCUCCACAGUCUUUGUCGCUGUAUUUUGUUAGAAAGAAAGGCGAGGCUGUUUCUACAGGUGCCACAGAAAAAUCGAUGCCGAGUCACGGAUUAUUGGAUCCCACAGAACCAUGGAGACUUGGCGGUGAAAUUCUUCUAAAGUUUCUUCUGGCUAUCAGAGAGUUGAAAGGGGAAAAAAAAAUAAAGAGCCAAAGCUGUUUCAACUUCUUGGUUGUUUUACUCCAUGGCUUAGCAUUCCAUCUGCGCAGGCAGAGGUGUUCCUGGUUUGGGAAGUAUAAAUCCCGCGGGAAGUCAACUGGAGAACAUUUUACGCGUCCGUCACUCAUCCUAUUAUGAGCCUGCUGCUCUUCCUUCUCUGGACAAGACAGUAUUCCACCCUGAUUGUAUCCCAUGUCACUAUUCUGUGCAAGGCCACCGACUAGAAGAGCACAGAAUUAUUAAAAAGAAAACAAAAAAAAAAACCAAAAAAAACACAGCUGAAAGUGAACGUCUUUGGAUUUCCCAUUUAAUGAGUUGGCAGCUAAAGGACAGGAGCAGCAAUAAGGCUGCCUGGCUACAUUUUCAUAGUGCCACCAACUGCGAGUUAAGCUGACAAACAUUUUGAGAGCUCGGCCCAUUUCAUUCACAGCAGGAUGGCAGGAGUUAACUAACACUGUAAAAAAAACCUAACUAAAAAUCGUGCCUUUACUGCACAUUUGCACAGAAUCUCAGGACUGAAAGUGUCGAAGUUCUGCUCGACAAGCGGGUGACUGAUUGUCCCUGCCAGCUGGCUAAUAUCAUAAUUAGCAAAGUUGCUACCACAUCUGCAAAGUUUAAUCGAAAAAUUUACCAGUGGUAUGAUGGCAUUGUCACCAUGAUCCCAAGGGAAUCGGAGUCGACUUCUGCUUCAGGAGGAACGGCAAGGCUGUAUAGCUGAGAUGAGAAAUUGUAAACUUGCUCAGCCAAAGGUUAUGCUUCGCAUCACCCACCAGGGAGGAUCAUCUCUCAUGAAAACUUUCAAAUUUGAUUUUGAAAAUUUAUUCAGAAAAAUUUAAGCCACGCUCUUUUUCAACACAGAAAAUAAUAUGCUCCAGAGAAUCCUCUAAUUCACAGAAAAUGGACUCGGAUAACAUUUGGGUUCUCAUACUACCACAGUUCUCUUGAGAAGGACAGCCAGGAGGCUAAUAAUGAAGGGGCCAGGGAAGGAGGCCAAUGCUACAAGGGUUAUCUCUCAACCUCAGAUGUUGGAUAAGUCAGGGAACAGCGUCGUUUCUGGAUGGCUUCAGACAGGCCGGACUGACUGUUUGGAAGAGAAAAACCUGCUUAUUCUUUCAAAGGUACAUGAAUGUUGUCCACACCUUCCCGUCUAAAGGUUAGAAUCUUGCCUUAGACAAAGGAUGCUCUUGGAGUCCCACCACACCUAAAACCACGCUUUGAAGGAUCUGCCAAGCUCACUUUUAAUCAUGAGAAAGAAAUUACCCACAUGGAGACAGCAGAAAAUGAGAAAGGAGAGAUCGUGCUGCGAAUAAUUCCAGCGAGUGCCAAGGGGCUAGUUGAGGAAUGGCUUCAUGAGGUGAAUAUCUUAGCUUGUACUUAGAAUUUGGUUAGCGUAUAAUCAGUUUCUCUUUUAGGAGCGAAUACAAUCCUAAGUGUAUUUCCCAUCUGAGCACCGCUCAGGGCAUUUAUCAGGAUGUUGACAUAUUUAAUAUCGGCCUCGUCCUCGCCGUUAUUUAUGAUGACUAAUUUUACACUUAUAAAUAUGCAGAAAUCGAUGUAGGUGGAAAGGCUCUCUGAGCCCCAUGUCUGUCGCUAGCCGUCUGUCUUCAUGUGCAGCGCUCUGCUAGUGUGGCCUGUCCAGUAAUGUGUGUCUCUGUGUAUGUGCGUGCUCUUGUUGUCUCCUCUCCGCUGUGAAUGUGCAUUGGGAGAAUUAGCCUUAUGACAGGAUAUCAAAAGAUGGGCCCAAGACUUUCAUUUUUGGAAUGGAAAGAAAAAAUAAUGCGUAACACUUUGUAUCACAUCAGUUUCAAUUCUUCCUGAGAGGGAGGGGGCCAAUCAGGUAUGAGUCAUCACAGGGCAAAGCAACCAGGAUUCAAAUUGAACAUCACCUUCAGUGUCAAAUUAGUUGAAAGUCCCCCUUUUCCUUUACGGUGACUGGCUGAAACCCCUGCCAUUAUGUCUGUUUGUUUUAAAAGGGUGGGGGGAGCUGCCUGAGUUCAUCCACAGUGCCAUGUAGCUUUUCUUUGUUUCAUUUUUCUAAGGAUCAGAUCCAAGAAAAAUAAUAGGUUAGUAAUUCAAGACCAUCACUACUUACACGGUUCUCUCCCGGGCAUGUCAUUUCUUUGGGUGCCAAGUUUCAUCAAGAUCACUAAGUAAACAAAUGAGCGAUAACUUUUUUGCUCCUUUUUUCUUUUAAUUUGACUAGGGAGUAAGAACUGGGAAAGUCAAGUGUCUUUAUGAGUCACAGAGGAAGAAUGCAGGAACCCCCACCCCCACCCCCCAACUUCUGGUCUCAGACUUUGAUUUCCCACACAACCAAGUCACGGGAUCGCCAUGCCAACCUUAAGCAAUUUUGGCUCCCAGCAAUCCUGUGCUGGGGAAUCUUUCAAACUACCCUUCAAUCCGGGUCCAAAGGGCCACAGCACAGACUAGUAGAAAGAGUGCAUUAUCUGAGAAAGCACCAGGCUGCUUUCCCAUUGGUAUAUGUGUUUGGUGCCACGGUUAAGCACCGCUGGGGUCUAAUACGUGGAUGACCCCCUUUAUAGAGUGUGGGGGCUUCUGAGGAAAAGGCAAGCAUUGACUAAGAAAAAGAGUCAUUCUUCCAUGUGUUUUCAUAAAAGGACAAGGCAGGCCUCUUUGAGAGCUUCUGAAAGAGAAGAGGCAUGGGAGGAGAUGAGCCAGCUGGGGGUGGGUUGUUUUGGGGAGGGGAGCCAGCUGGGGAAUGGAGAGAGAGAGAGAGAGGCUGGGGAGAUAGCCAGCUGGGAGAAGAGGUAGGAUAAAGCCAAGGCACAAAGGUACAGGCAGAUGAGCAGCUGUGUUUAUUUGAAUACAUAUCAUUUAACCCUCACCUAAAAACAAAUUGGAGAGGUUUGGGAGUGCAUUAAUCUGGACCCAAUUAGCAUGUCUUUCCCCUUCAAAAGGUGCAACCUGAGAUUAAUGAAUAUCAACCAGAGUUUCAGAAGCAGCACUUAAAUCAUUUGCAUGUUUGUGCAUGAUAAUUGGAUUUAUGUAUGCACUUCCUUUCAUUUAACUAUUUCCAGUCUCCUUAUGAGUGAGUCAUACAACCCAAAACUUCAUUCGAGUGAUUUCUAGGUAGAAAUAGCUUACCUAGCAUUCUACCCCUAAGGGGGGAAAAACUCAAGUGGUUGUACAUUUUGAAUUUGAAUACCACAUUUCUUUCUUUUAUUAUUAUUUUUUUUAACAUAGAGGGCAGUUGAUAAUAGUGUGGAAUGCUGCUGCUUCUGGAGUUGGUAAAUAGGCACCACAGAUUUAUCUUUAAAAGGCUAGGAAAAUAAGGAAAUUUCCAACAUCAAGCUUUCAUGGCUUCCGUGUGGCCACUAGUAAGAGAUUUUAUAAUGCUAGGAACGAGGCCACUUGAAUGCCGCAUGGGGAAUGUUCUUGGUGUCUGGACCUGUGGCAAUUAGAUCACAGAGACAUCAGCAUCCAGGAUGGUUUAUGGCAUAGUUAGAAAUGUGUUUCUAUAGAAAGAGAUGGGAAUGCGGUCAACAUCUGUGAACUGCUGUGGACAGGCAAGGAGCAUUGUGAACCCUUGAUGCUGUGGGUUUGGUCCUUCUCAUUUCCUCCCUCCCUCCCUUCCUUCCUUCCUCCCUCCCUCUCUCCC